rnacentral:lncRNA from 1 species
GCCAACACAACACAUGAUCGUGACAGUGCUGGUCCAACAAUAAAGAGUUUUGAACCCUAAGGUCCACAAAGUAGGAGUCAACUAAGGAUCCACAAAGUGAGUCUUGAACCCUCCAAUGGGACCAAUAAACCAUUUAGAGAGUAGAGAGAAAGGAAGAAAGAUAGAUAGGAAAGUAAGAGAAAAGAAAAGAUUCGUGGAGGGCUUCCUCUCAAAAUAGAGGAAGAGGGAGGGAGA